GGAACCAUUUUGUUACAACAAAGGAGGAUGUUGAAUGCAGGAAAACAGCCACUACUUCUACCAUCAUCAUCAUCAUCAUCAUCAUAUCAUCAAAGUCUUGCAACUUGUAUUUUUAUCCUCUCCAAUAAAGAGAACAGAGCAUCAAAACCUAUAUGGUGGAACAUUAAGAAUAACAUGUACAAAGGUCUGAAAGGAUUCAUCAUUGAGAAGAUAGUUCUAUUGGAAUUCUCCCGGUCAUUAAAAGAUGUCUUAAUUGUGUACAUUUAAUUCUGGAAAAAGUACAGACACUUCACUGAAGAAAAAUUGUGCAGCUUCUAAAAAUAAUCAUGUUUUAAAAUGGUCAAUAUGUGCAUAUACAUCGGCAGUCUCCCUCAUAUUAAAAUACUGACAAUGGAGCUGCUAUUGUGACUUCCCCAGGAAAGAGGAGAGUGAAUUAGAUGAUAACCAUGCGUUUAAAUUCAGUUGGGUAACAGAUACAGAGACUUCUAUCGUUAGAUAUUUCCAAUAGAAGAGGACCAGUCAAUAGCAUAAACAUAAAUAUAUUGGAGUUAUCUCUCUUUGCUUGUACAUCAAAAAUCAAAAAAUUGGGUACCCCCCCCCCCCGCCUUAUGAUAUCUAUACUAACAGGAGGGGCUUAUAAAUAAUCGGUGGUUGGCCCCAAGGACUGUACUCUAUCUGAUUAUUAAAUUUUAUUUUUGACUUGGAUAUUUACACGUUUGAAGGUAUAUCAAUAAAGUUA